UAUCACAUUAUCUUCCUUUUCCACAUCUAAAAAUAAUAAAACACUCUAAAGCAGUCAUUAUCCAUUUUCAUUUUAUAAGAAACUGCAUAAUUCGCAUAAGCAAGCUAAACAACCACCAUUUUGUAGAAACAGAAACAUUUACAAUGAAAAUAUCUGCAGGCCAACCAGUCAUAACUGGAGUAUGCAUGAAGAUAGGUAUAAGGUAAGAAAAAUCUAUGCAUGAUAAAAGUUUUCAAAUGGCGAAAUUUCUUUUCUAAAUAUUUUGUUAUUUAUUGCUAUGUAAGGAAAAAAACCUAGUUCUUAGUGGCUCAAAACAAUCACUUUAUUUUCUUCACAAUUUUUAGGGUUAAGGAAUUUCAUAAGAACUCAUCUAGGUAGUUUGACUUACAUAGUGUCAGCUGGAGCGAUUAGAGAUGGUGGUAAUACUUUGCAGGCGCUUCUUCACUGCAUUAGGGAAUAUUUAGCCUCUUUGGCCUCUCUUUCUCCAUGAGGCAUCUCAUUUUCUAGGGUAUCUCUUCAUGGCUUGAGCAUCUCUUCUUAGAGGGUGGAGGUCUCAAAGCAAGUCUUCUUAACUGGUAACUAGUUUUCAAGAGCAAGUGUUUCAAGAAUCAGAAAGUGGAAGCUGCCAAAACUUUAUUGCUCAUACCUGAAAACUGGCACAGCAUCACUUCCAACGUAUUCUAUUUGUCAAAAUAGACAGAAAGCCAUUACAGAGAUCAAGAGGCACAGAAUUAGACCCCGCCUCUCAUUGGGACAAAUGUCAAAAACUUGAGGCUAUCAUCAAUCUCCCACAGCAACAGAUUUCUCGCACUAGUCUUUAGUGUCCUGGAGAAUGCUUCUAAGUGAGAUCCGAUGAAUUGUGGUUAGAAGAUGUUGAAGGCCUUCUCUUCCAAUUGUCAGCUUUAAGAAAGGACUGCACCAAAAGCUUGCAGUGUUCAUAAUCAGCUGUGACAAAGGCGCCUCUAUAGUUAACCUCUAUAAAUUAUAAAAAUUUUCAACAGAAUUGACUCAAGAAAUUCAGUCACUGUUGUUCCUCCAAAGAGUAGAUAGCCAGCUUGCCAACUGCUGAACUCACUCUCACUUUGCUCUGCUCCAUUCCUUUCAUGUACUUU
rnacentral:lncRNA from 1 species